AACAGAUGAUGAUGAGGAAGCAAUGGAGAGCAUCGAAGUGGUCCUACCUGAAGGAAGAAAGCUCGACUCUACAGAUGCGCUCCAAAAAUUUGAUGAGCACUUGAAUGUUAACACCAGGAAGAGAAUGGUGCAGAUUCUACAAUCAAUAGAGGGAGGGAGCAACCUACCCAAGAUUUGUCGGGCAAUAAUGAGGUCACUUUUGACCAAUAAGGUUAUGAGCAUGUACAGUGUUGUUGGGCAAAAGGGAAAACUGCCUUUUAAAAAUCUUGAAAUAGCAAAAAUAAUUAUGAGAGCAAUCAAAAAGUCCACACUGGACAAAUUUAAAGAAAAUGAAAUAUUCUACUAGAUUGGUGAAGUAUUGAGGAAUGCACCUAAUCAACCCGGGGGCAUUAAUUAUGAGA